rnacentral:lncRNA from 1 species
ACUGCAGGCUGGGGCUCCGCUCCCCGGCGGGAGCCCGCGCGUGGUUCCCAGCGAAGUCCCCGCGCGGCUGGGCCCAGCGUGAGUAUUCUCCGCCCGCUGUCCUCCCCCUGGAGGCGGCAGCGCCCGUUUAUUUGAGGUGAGAGUCUCCCUCGGGCAGAGGGCCCUGCUUGGGGCGGGGGUGCUUGCGUGCGCGGGGUCUCACCUCCUGCCCGAGGCUUCCCCUCAGUGGGGCUGCUCCGCAGGGCAGACGCGGUGACCCAGGGCGCUGCGUUCUGCGCUCCUGGAGCUGGAGGUAGCGAGGCGUGGAGGCGCCGUGGCCCCGUUGGGGGCUUUGUGUGCACUUGGGGCUCGUGACUCGGAUAGCUCUGGUUCCCACGUUGCAGUUGGGGAGGAGGCUAGUGGAGAGACCCAGUCUGGAGGGAGCUGUGCCCACCGCAAACCCCAGGAGAGGGCGUGGAGAGGGCCGGCCCGCCGGGACGGCGCAGCCAGGCGAUGCCGGGGUCGCCCGGGGGUCGCUAGGGCAGCGGGUGACGCGCUGUGGAGCGCGGCGAGAACGACGGCCUCUGACCCCGGAGCGCUCGCCAAGGCCACGCCGAGGUGGCUGGACCCUGCCCCUCCCCGCUGCCGGCCUGGGCCCCAGCCUGCCUCAGAGACUUCGAUUUCAGUUUCCAGCAAAAGUGUGUGCCAUUGUGUGGUGGUCGUGGAGGAGGGAGACCCACGCGCCUGUCUAUCGCUGGAUGGGAUUGGAAUUUGAAGAAAAAAUGUCCCUACUCCUGUUGCGGGUUCUUGCCUAUCUGGCCGCCUCCAGUCCCGCCCACGAGACCUCCAGCUUUCAUUUUCUUCCUGAACUAAAGCCCGAGGACUGAGGCCCUUCACGCGUAGCGUAGCCCCCACCCCCGGUGCCCAAAGCCGGCCAUCGCACGGCGGUUCUUAGCUUUUUAGUCUCUGUCACGCUAAUACAUGCUGUUAGUCCAGGUCAGGGAUGGUUCCAUGCAGGCGAUUUUGACAGCAGUCAUCAUACCAAGCUAUUAGGAAGCGUGAUGUCAGUGCGUUCUGGAAGGACAGAUAAUUUAUAAACCAGUUCUUGACAUGGUAUCUUACAAGGAAACAUCUGAAGCCAUCAGUAAAAGAGGCAUUUUAAUUCACACACUAAAAAUAUUUUGUGUUUAGUUAACAUCGUGCAAAUGUUGAAAGAGGUAGUAGCAUUUAUCAUUUUGUAGGUAUUUAUCAAGGUACUCAAAAAAGUCCCUAUAGGAAGGAGGAGGUUUUUGUCUUAUUUCCAUUCUGACAUAAACUGAGGAACAGAGAUGUUAUGUAACCAAAUAGUCCAAGUAAGUUAGUGAGAGAGCUCUAUUUAUGUGACCAAACAUUUUCUAAAACUGGAAUAAUAGGAAAAAUCAAGUCCAAAUUUAAGCAGAUGCUUUAGGCUUAAUAUUAUAUGAUAGCCAGAAGUUGUAUUUACAUGGACCAAAUACUUUGGGAGGCUAAUCUGUGGGAAUUAAUUUUAUAGUGAACUCCAUAUGGGGCCCAAGAUACAGUUUUCUUUUCCUCCAUCCAUCCAUUCAAUAAGUAUUUAUUCAUUAUCUAUUAUAGGUCCUCCACUUCCCUUUGCCAUUGAACAUGAUCCCUAUGGACCUUUAAUAAGUAAUUGUUGAAAUGUAACUAAAAUAUGUAUAUUUUCUCCUUGCUCCAAGAAACUCAAGGAACAUUAUUAUGAAAGAGUUAAAAACUGUGGCCUUUCUUUGAUACAAAUGGAAAAUUGUGUUGAUUACCUUUAAGUAGAAAGUCAAGGGAAAAAAAUAAAUUAGGAAUCAGAAAGUUUUCUCCAGAUUGUGCCGUAUUCACAGUACCACACAGUACCAUGUUUUUUUUUUUUUCUCCUUUAAAACUCAUUAAGCAAAGUUUAAAGGGCAUACAUGAUUGAAGGGGAUAUUCUUUUAAUUACUUUAGAAAGCAAAAUAAUCCUUAAAAGGUCUUGCUCCUUAUUUGGUAUACUGGACGGGCUGGUUUCAUUUGAGUUGAAAGCACUAUAUUUCUAGUUAAAAUCAAGACCACAUACAGUACCUUUUUUCCCCCCAAUCUUAAGUCAGAAUUGUCUACAAUUAAGUAAACAAAAUGCAUCCCAAGUAGUCAUACAUACACCUGGUUAAAAUUAAUUGGUUUAAUAAAAAUAUAAAAACAUACUCAAUAUGUUUAUCUCAGUUAUAGUUUUCAUCUUUCUUGGAUAAUGCUUGAAAUCAUUCAAAACAAUAUCUAGAUCCUAAAUAUUAAAACAUUUUGUGUGAAAUCUGCAAGAUGCACCUAAAGGAUGUACCAUUUUUUGAAGUACAAUAUGUUAGGAAUAAUUUUGUCCCUAACUCUCAGCUGGAGGGCUGAAACGGUAUAACCAAGGUCUAACUAAUGUCUGCAUGUUAACAACUACACCAGAACUUACACAAACAUUUUAGUGUGUUCUCAUCUAUCAAGUCAUCUUGGAAGGCUGUCACUUAUUGUGUAGGUGCUUCCAUUGCUGCCAUUGCUCAAAACGUUUCUGGAGCUCUUUGUUGGGCACUGCUUUCAGAACCCACAGCACAUCUGGUUUAAGAGCCUUGGAGGUGGCAAGCCAUCUUCCUUUAGCAUCCUUCAGUGCUCUGAAGAAUAAGGUGGGUGGUCAAGUCAGGAUAAUAUAAUUUGGGGUCAAAACAAGCUGAAAGAAAAUUAGAUGACUUCCCUCAAUGACUUUUUAACUAGUUAUAAAGUCAUCAUACUAACAUAUGGCAGCACCACUGGAAUAAGAGUAGCUGCUAAAGGACAGCCUUAAGAAAAGUGCUACACAUUCUCUUUGAUUGUCAAUGAAUUACUAACUUAACAAUCAUAUACAUGUAUAGUGCAUUGGUAUGCAUGAUAAAGACAUUACUUCAAAAAGUUAUAUUGUCAAGAGUUUGGUUGGUUGAUUCUAAAUUUUUUGAGUGCACAAUUUUGGUAUGAUUUAAAAAGCUAAGUUCUAGAAUAUGGAAUUGGGUGGGAAACAUUCAAGAUGUCGUGGCUAAAAUUAGGGUUGCCCUAUAUAAUUCCACAGGAUUGGCAUUCCACAUUCCUUGAAAUAUUAAAGAAUCAUACUCAUUUAAGAAAUCAAACAUAACUUGUAUUCUAUUUGGUGAGCAAGGCUUUGACUAUUACAAAAAACUUCCCCUUCUCCUAGCCUAUGGGUGAGGCCUAACCUGUGAGGUCAAACACUUGUCAUUUUUAGUAGUUGAUCAUAAAUACAGACUGAAAAGCAUAUGUGUAGUGGAACCACCAUAUUGUUUUAAGUGAAUAAUAUUCAACCUGCUUUACAAAAUACAGAAUCAUGAAACUCCUAGCCCAGUGAACUAAGCUCUUAUUAUAAUAUUCAAGGCCAGAAUGUGGGAGAUGGUAUGGAAAGUCAUCCAAGGAAAAGAGUGGGAUGGGGGAGAAAGAGGUUAGUCAUGGGGCUUUUUAAUUAUAAUUAGUUGUAUUCAUCUGAGGGAACAACUUACCAUUGCUUUCCAAAAACCAGCAAUUUAAAAUUUGAGGAAAUAAUUCAAAUUCAACUCCAGCUGAGACUAUACAGAAAACCAAGAAAAGCAGAAAGAAUGUAAUUAGCUGAGUAGGAAUUUUCCUAACAGUUCAAGUCUAAUACCUUUAGUAUUAUAUAGAGGGCCAAGGGAUCAUUAGUGAUUAGCAAGAAUCCAGACCAUACUGAUCAGGAGAGAUCAAGGCCAAUGGACAAAGAUGAAAGAGCUUUCCUGCUUAAACCCAAUGUUGCAAAUGCUGAUGCUCUUACAUAGGGAAGGUCAGCCAGCAGACAAAGAAAUAGGGCAGUCGUCCCAAAGCAACAAGUAGAGUCAUUCCUCUCUUUCACUCCAGAGUUAGAUUGCAUAUGGAGAUUAACCAAGAUUGAGCUGAGACAAAAAGAAUAUCAUUCUUUCAGCCAGGUAUAAGGUCUGGAACUGAGUCCUGUUUCUGCUUUGAUGAACUUGGGUAUUGUCCAGACAUUGGGGAAGGGAAAACCUGCUGGGCCCUGGAUACCAAGAUUACACACCUAAUUAAAAAGGUCAGUGAACAAGGUGGACAGACCCAAUUCUAGAUCUUUUCUGGGGAAAGACACCGGACUGCUUGUCCAUUAGGUAGACAGAAUGACUCUUAAAAUGUAUGUUAGAUGCCAGGAGUGGUGGUUCAUGCCUGUAAUCCCAGCACUCUGGGAGGCCGAGGCAGGUGGAUCACCUAAAGUCGGGAGUUUGAGACCAGCCUGGCCAACAUGGUAAAACCCCGUCUCUACUAAAAGUACAAAAAUUAGCUGGGCAUGGUGACACACGUCUGUGAUCUCAGCUACUCGGGAGGCUGAGGCAGGAGAAUCACUUGCACCCAGGAUGUGGAGGUUGCAGUGAGCCCAGAUCGUCCCACUGCACUUCACCCUGGGUGACAGAGUGAGACUCCACCUAAAAAAAAGAAAAAAAUAAAAUUAGGGGUACAAGGGAGUAUCAGUUAUCUGAAGGGAGUAUCAGUUAUCUGGCAAACUAUCCAUAAAUAGUACUUGUGGAAAAACAAGUAACAGUGAUUUUAGCCUUCCUUUUUAAAUGGGGAGCCUAACCAUCAUGACUACCCAUCUUGUUGUUGUUGUUGUUGUUGUUGUUGUUUUGAGAUAGGGUCUCACUCUGUCACCCAGGCGGGAAGUGCUGCAGUGGCAUGAUCUCAGCUCACUGCAACCUCCGCCUCCCAGACUCAAGUCAUCCUCCUACCUUGGCUCCCCAGGUAGCUGGGACCUCAGCUGUGUGCCACCACGCCUGGCUAAUUUUUUGUAUUUUUGGUAGAGACAGGGUUUUGCCAUGUUGCCCAGGCUGAUCUUGAACUCCUGAGCUCAAGUGAUACUCCCGUCUCAGCCUCCCAAAGUGCUGGGAUCACAGGCAUGAACCACCGCACCCAGCCAUGACUGCUCAGCUUCUAUAGAUUUAAGAGUUCGUGCAAAUAUUUUAAAAUUUGAGUCUAAAUAUUAAAUUUUGUGUAUAGUGUUUGUAGCUUCAGGAGUGGGGAGAGGGUAGUUCUCAGUAUGGUCCAGGUAGUUGUAAUAGAAGCCUGGUGAGUAUAAUUUGAAGUCCAUCUCUUUUAAAGAGAGAGGUUCCUGUCUUUAGAUUCCAAAAUUCACAUGUGGAUCCAGAGUACAGAAAAGGUAGAGGACUGCCAUGAGAAUUGAGAAGUGGUAGAAAGAGUCCUGGACUGGGAGUGGGAACUAGGUUUAUCAUGUCCCAAUUAUGUUUCUUGAGGCAAAUUUUAGUUUUCCUCAUAGGCAAAAUGUAUAUAAUUGUAAUAUCUACUAGUCUACUUUGCAGGGUAGUUUGUGCCUUAUCUGAGAUGAAGUAAAUGAAACACUUGCUGUGCAUGCGCAGGAUUUUGUGUGCUACAAUGCAGGUUUUAUAGGUGAAGGUAAUGCUUAUAGCCCUGGAGUUGUCCAAAUAUAUGAACCAAAAUAUAAAGAAAGCUAGAAACCCACCUGUGGGAACUUGGGAGAAUAGAAUAGUUUUAGCGUGGAUACCAGAGACAAAUGGAUAGUAUAGUCAUUACUCCUUUUUCAGAUUCAUAGGAAGUACCCUGUUGCCAUUGCAAGAGAUUUUGUUUUUACACUUCCUGAAGACCUGUUGUGUAUAAAGUAACCUUAAGAUAGCCCCCUUUAUACUAUCAAGCUCAAUUCUGCAGCAGUGGCACUGAAAGGACAAACUUUCUUUGUGGAGAAAAUUGACCAGACUCCUAGGCCUUGAUUAUUGUACUCCCAAUGGUCCUUCUUUUCUUAGAGAUUUCAUUAAUCCCCAUUGCCAUGUUCAUACCUUAAAGGAGAAGAAGAAGCUGACUUGAGUUCUACAGAUUGGCUUAAUCGGUCAGCUAUGAACAUUUUCUAAAAACAGUUGUUAUUCUUCCCACAGCAGCAAUUCAUUUCUUUUGCAGACACAGCAGGACCCCACCUCUCUGGACCCUGCAGACCAUUAAAAGAAAUUAACAGUUUAAUUUUCUCCUUCUUUCCUCUGUGUAUUUAAAAGGUACAGAGGAUUAAGGGGGAAGGGCAGUUUGCCUCUCUACCUCACAGAAACCCCUGUACAGAUAUAGACAGCAUCAUUGGCUCCCACCAACAUGAGGCAUGGCUCCUAGAGAGGAGGGGGAAGUGGAUGUGGGUGUCCUCAGGUGGGUAUAUACUCAUCCUUUCUUCUGUUGAGUUGCCGGAUUUCACCUCAUGAAGAGUAAAAACAAUGCCCCUUCUCUGAAGUCAUGUUAGAGGGAUGUUUUCUGGAGGCUUGUUGAGUAUCCUCCAUACAGGAAUGCUUCAUAAGUUCACAUUGUGUGAGGGACCAUGUAUGUGAGCCAGGACAAUACAGUCACAAAGGAAAAGGGGCAUUUGAUUCAGGCAGUAUGUGUUUGAACAUCAGAUCUGCUCACCAGCUUAGUGGCUUGGGCAAAUUUCUUCAUCUCUCUGAGUCUCAGUUUCUUUAUCUGCGAAAUGGCAGUAAUAACAGUGCUCACUUCUAAGGAUUAGUGUGCAUGAGGUGAGUGUAUGACAAACGGGAGUUGUAAUAUUAGGCUCUGGGGAGUCAGGGAGGAAUAUAAAUAAAUAUAAGGCAAAUUCCCAUCUUCAAGGAGCUUUCAGUUUGGUUGGAAGGGACUGAAUAAAAAUAAAGCUGACAAUACAAGGCAGAAAAUGGGAGCACCAAAUGAGUGCUGCAGAUGACAAAUUCAGCAGUCUGCCAAGGACUAGGAUGAUGGUUGAAAGGUUUCAAGACAGAGGUGGGAGUUUCUCUCCGGAUUUGCAGACUGGACAGGAGUCAGAUAUAUGGAGUGAAAUUGAGAAAUCAUCCAGAUGACAAGAGGAAGGAGGAAUCAGAACACACAGCACAUGCAUAGCAGGGGGGAGAGUAUGCUGGAGUGGAAAGUAUACCAGCUUUUGAGCCAGAUGUAAGAAUCCUAGUGCUGCUGUGAGACCUUAGUUGGACAAGUACCUUAACUUCUUUAGCCUUCUACAGCCUUAAAAUGGGUAUAAUUAUACCCAUCUCUUAAAUGGAAGGGAUUAAAUAAGAUAAUAUUUGUAAUGCCUAACAUGGUGCCUGGCAUCUUCAGUAAAAUAAAGACAAUUCACAUGAUGUUUUCAGCGGACAAAGAGAGAGCUGUCUGCCUGAAGAGCUGUCUGGCCUUGUGUAGGCUAGUAGUGGAAAACAAACCAGGAACAGCUAAUUAAUGCCUAUGGGGAGGGUAGGAAGGAGGCUUGAAAGCCAAUUUAAGAAGCUGGGGCUGGCCGGGAGCGGUGGCUCACGCCUGUAAUCCUAGCACUUUGGGAGGCUGAGAUGGGCAGAUCACCUGAGGUCAGGAGUUCAAGACCAGCCUCAACAUGGAGAAACCUCAACAUGGAGAAAAUACAAAAUUAGCCGGGUGUGGUGGUGCAUGCCUGUAAUCCCAGCUACUCGGGAGGCUGAGGCAGGAGAAUUGCUUGAACCUGGGAGGUGGAGGUUGUGGUGAGCCGAGAUUGUGCCAUUGCACUCCAGUCUGGAAAACAAGAGGGAAACUCCGUCUCAGAAAAAAAAAAAAAAAAAAAAAAAAAGAAGCUGGGGCUGUUAUAGGCAAUCAGAACUACCAAGGCAAAGUAGGGGUUUAGGAUAGUUAAUCUUAAGGCACUCUGAAAGCUGUAUUUGAGGAAGGAAGAAACUCACUCCUUUAUGUGUAAAGUGAUCAGGGUCUAGAUGAGGAUGGUGGAAGGGUUAGUAGACCUGGCCAAUGUCUUUUUAAAGUUAUUUUCAUAAAAGCAAUUUAGGGCUCAGCAGUGUGGAGUAGGGGGGAGCUUUUUUGUUUGUUUUGUUUGUAGAUUCCUAAUAUUUAGUAUUGAUUGUCUACAAUAAAACUAGGAUAGACCCACAACUUUGGAAAAGAGAGAUCACUCAGCAUUCAGGGACAGUACAAGGUGAGAAGUAAUUCUGAUGCUAAAUAAGCCCUAUAAUUUGCUUCAACUUAUAAAAUAGCCCCUUUUAAAAGCCCCUUCCCCCUUCCUAUUAUUAAUACAGAUCAAGUGUGUUCCAACCACUGGUUUUCAGGAAGACAUAAGUACAGAUCAUUUAUCGUUGUAUGGAGUUUGCAGUUAGGAUUGUAACACCAAGAGGGGUUGGGGCAAAGGGCGAGGAUGCUGCCAGCAAAAUAGUAAUGUUGAUGAUUUUAUUUAUUUGAUAAUAGUGAAAUUCUGUUCUCUCCUGGGGUUUAGAAGUGAUUUAAUUAAAAAACAAACCUAGGAAAUAGUUUUGGAUACUAGGAAUUAAUUUAUAAUGUCUCACAUUUUCUACCUUUCUCUUUUUUUUCUGUCUUUAGUAGUUUUGUAAUGGGAGAAUACAUGGUAGAUAAUUCUGUUUCUAAGGAAAAUCACACUGAUUAUGUAUAUGAACACUGGUUUUUAAAACGUUAGGAAAUCCUAACUGUGGUAAGCCUUAAACAUAUUAAAUAGGAACUGAUAACCAACCUACCUCUGAUUUCCUGAACUUUGCUGUUCUCUUAUUGGGCUGCAAGGGCAACAUUGUGCCAAUAGCUCUGGGGUGCCUGAAUAGUGCAUUGCUUCCCUUGGAAGAAAGAUGUACAUGAAAGAAGAUUGUGUGCAGUGGUUGACAAACACAGAAAGAAGAUAAGUGACUAAGAAAAAGGUAGGCCCUGCAAGGUUAGAGGCAAAGCCAGCUGGCUUAGUCCCAGUGCUUCGAGCAGGAGGAGCAAGGAGUGUUCAUUUCAUUUCUUGUCUCCUGAGUUUAUUUAAAUCAUCUGCUGAUCGAAGGGAAGGGAGAGGAGAAAGCAAAAGACAUCUCUUCACUUUUUAAUGAAAGAGUUUAUGAAUAUCUAUUGCUUUUGGAUUUCUGGUAUCCGUGCCACCCUAACAGAUCAUCCAAACUAGCCCCUGGCUGAAAGCCUGGCCAGGGGAUUUGGACCAGCGGCAGAUGCCAUUGGGAAGAGGGUCUUCAGGGUCUGCUGGCAUUAAUUUUGCUAAAGAGACCUCAUCAGAGACCAAGCCUCCUCUUGCCUACAGGUGGUGGGCCUUGGAGAGGGCCUCCAUGGAGAUUUCAGCCUUGCCCCCUCCUCCAACCUCUCUGCCUUCUGCUUUUGCAUUGGGACCUCUCUUUCUCUCUUCCCCCUUUUUUCAAUUAAAUGAAUUAAUUACCAGGCGUUUAACUUUUUGCCAGGCUCUUUUAUUAUGCCCAGAGUUGUUGCUGAGUGGCAAAGGGAAGUAAUAACAUUCACAGUAAGGGGCAAAUCCUGUUAAUGAACAAAUUAAAGUUCAAACAGUGAUUCAAGUUCACAACCUCUCUGUGGCUCUUCUCUUUAAUAAGAGUUUUACAUGUUACUUUCCUCGCUCUUUUCUCCCUUUUAUUACUUUUUAAGCUUUUCAUCAACACUGCCGGGGCAUAUUUGAGGCUCCCAACCUUUCAGCCCUGACAAGGACUCGAGCAGUUAUAAUCCUGUCUUAAUUUGGCAACUUUUGUAAAACACAUAAAGGGCCCAGGGUCACCUUUGGUCGCCAAGGCCCUGGGUGACCCUAUAGCUUCCACCUCCUGCCAGGGCUGCGUAGGCCACUCUUCUCGGUAUUCAUGCCCCUCUGGCAGUCAGGAUCAGAAGAUUCACCUUCCCGCCCCCGACACAGCCAGGCAUAACCUGUCCACAAGUUAAGGGUUCGAGCCCUUUCUUCUCUCGGUCCCCUCUCCAACAGUCCUUUCUACCCAGCAGCGCUGUGGGGGGAAGGGGACGCCAUGGGGAGGGAGGAGCCUACGGACUAAAAGCUGGAAACCUUUAUGGGGAAACGGAUUUGAGGUGGGACGGAUGCCCGACUCCCUCUCCACUACCACUACCGAAUGCUGCUCGCCUCGCUGAGGUCGCCUCACCACGCGGUUCCAAGGGCAGGAGGCCCAGUCCUCCUUAGUACUCUGACGGGUCCGGUCCCCGCCCACUCCUCUCCCCUCUCUCUCUCUCUCUCUUUCUUUUUUUUUUGUACUGUGGAUUGCGUGGGGGUCUUUUCCACCUCCGCGCCGGCUUCUCACCACCAUCCCCCGAGCAUGGCUAGAUAUCAUCACCAUGACAACUGCAAUCUAUGAGCAUACACAUAAUAGAGAUGAAAUAGACAAAAGAUUAGCAUGCCAUGAAAAGUACAAUAAGUUUCUUAUUUAGCAUUUAGAUAACUGUCUUUCCUUCGGAGCAAGCUUCAAAGUUGAAGCCAGUUUAGACCAAGAGGAUUAAUUCUUUCUCCCGCAUGCUUCAUUGAAUCUCUCAUUACCAAACUUUGUCUGUAUUGAUGUAAGAUUUGAUUGAAGAUUAGAGCAUUUAGCAAAUCUUGCUUUUCUGCAUGUAUCAGGUCCUUUCAAGCACGGAUCUCGGUGCCCAGUGGUCAAUACCCUUACUUUUAUCCAGUGUCUGCUUCAUUUAAACUUAAUCAACUCCAUCAAUGAACUGGAACAGGGAAACGUCCCUGUGGUAAGAAUGUUGUGCUUUUGUGGGAUAAUUCUUUGCUCUUUCCCGAUCUGUUGGCGUUAAACCUAAAAUUGCACUAUGACGAACUUUUUUUUAAUCAAUAUGAUAAUGACAAUUGGGUCUGAAAGCUCUGGUGGGACUUGGAGUAGAGCGGGAUCUGUCCCCCAUUACCAAAAUAACUUCUCGUUCUGCGAUAGUCGAACUCCUUUUGUGUGGCUUUAAUACCUUUUCUUCCCUGACAUUGAAUAUUGCUCAAGCUGGAAAAUGAUGCAUCUUUGUAGGGAAGGCUCGUAUGUCACAGCCAGAAAGUGAAGCAGACCGAUUGGUUGUGUGAAUUAUCUGACUUGCUGCAGUGAAUUAUUUGCACUGUUUCCCUACCUAGUCAACAAGUUCCUGAGGUAUAGUAGAGAUCAAUCAAAACUGACAGCCCGCGUGUGAAGGCUUUACUGUGUAAAUCUGGCGCACUCAUCCUGGCCAUGCCGGCCCUGGCAUCUGUAUAUCAUUUUUAUACUGCUACCAGUAGAGCAAUUUCAAAAGUAUUUGCAAGGAAAAUGCGUGUCCCCAUCUGUUCCUGGAAGCAUAAAUGUGCCACCUUCAGAGGGUUUUCACUGGUAAUCAUAUCUUUAAUGAUCAACAGACUAGUGAUAUAUACCUUUCCAUAAAAUGGGGUUUUCUUCACUUUAUUGUGAUUGGCUAGAAUAAAUAGCUUUUCCAUAUGUUAGGGAGAUAAAAUACAAGAUUAGCAGAGGUCGUUUGUUGGAUAGUAAACAAAAGAAACAAUUCAUUCCAAAUAAUCUUGAAAAGAAGCAACGACAAAAUUAAGUUGCAAUCACAGAGUAUCUGAGGCCCCAACAUCAGAAAACAGACCUCGUUCCUCCUUGGAAAAGGAGCCGUUUAAGAGCAGAAACUCAAGAAUCUUCUAGGGGACUCUGGUGACUUAUUCUUGGAGUCGGAGAGGGGCAGGAUAGGGAAGGAGAGAGAGGCUGGAAUAAUACUUGUUUGUUCAACUUUGUAGGAUUGUAUUUCCUUUCUCUUAUCUCAGGUGCUAUUUGGCCGCCUCCACUGCAGCACCCUGGGUAAAUUGGUAGGUGAUGUGUUCAGAAAGCAGGAAAAUGCCACUCUGCUGAAUUUCUCUUCAGGACUUUCAAGGAGAUGGGGAUUGUUCACAUACUUUAAAAUAAAGGUUAACUUCCCCUAGCCAGAGAUUUCUUUUCCCAUAGAAAAAGAUGUUGGAGGGUGGGGCAAAGUUCCCAGCUUUACGUGAAAUUCCAAAACCUAGGGAAAGGGGCCUCAAGAGAUAGCCAAAACUCACUGGAGAAACCCUAGGAAAUGUUCUUAGUCAUCGAAUCCCACCUGUAUAGGUAACAGUCUGCAGAUACAAUCAGGCCCUGACCACUAUCCCUCCUCCUCCCACACACCCACUCUCAGUGCCAAGAUUCCUUUUUCUCAGAUGCAGCCACUUUCAGUUUGCUGAGCCAUCUGUUUUUUUUUUUGUUGUUGUUGACAGGGUUUCGCUCUCUCACCCAGGCUGGAGUGCAGUGGCAUGAUCUCGGCUCACUGCAACCUCCACCUCCCGGGUUCAAGUGAUUCUCAUGCCUCAGCCUCCCGAACAGCUGGGAUUACAGGUGCCUGCCACAACACUGGGCUAAUUUUGUAUUUUUAAUAGAGACCGGGUUUCGCCAUGUUGGUCAGGCUGGUCUCAAACUCCUGAUCUCAAGUGAUCUGCCCACCUCAGCCUCCCAAAGUGCUGGGAUUACGGGCGUGCUGAGCCAUCUUGGCGAAAUUUGGAAGCUUCUCCUUCAAGAUUCUGGGCGCAGAGGUUUGGAGGCAGUGACUGCCUGCUUAGGAGACUACAAUUCUAUUUUGUUUCCAGGGUUAGGACAGAACUUCCCAUUCCACAAAUAUUGUAUUGGUUGCAGGUCACCAGAAUCUGAAUGAUGCCCUCAGCCUUUGUGCUCUCCAGAAAAUAGGUGUGAGCUAUGAGGACCUGCUCCCUAUGGUCAGGACUUGAGAAGGAGUUGGGGGAGGUUCUCUUUAAACAUUGGGAACAGACUCUGGUUCUGCAUUCUUUCCUGUUGUCUCUUGUUAUGUAUAUGUUAUGUAUUGAUGAUCUCCCCAUCCCCUCAUCCCCACUGCUCCCACCCUUAUUCCACAGAAUUCUUUGCUCUACCCAAAUGCCUACUGCUCUUAUUAUAGCAGGAGUGUGUAGCAGAAGUGUGUUAGUUUCAAUGUGGGAAAGGUGGUCUGUAGGCAGGUCCCAAGCAGAAAGUUUCCAUUAGCAUCUCAGAUCAAAUUUGUGUUAAUUUCCUGGCCCUAGAGAGACUUGGGAAAAACUUUUAGGACAGUAGAAAAACAGCUCACCCAAAGCCCAUGGUGAGAAAAAAAAUGCAUAACUAAGGAAAUACUUUUUUUUUCUUAAUUUUAGAAACACUAUAUACAUAUAU